rnacentral:tRNA from 1 species
GGUCAGGUAGCUCAGUUGGUAGAGCAACGGAUUGAAAAUCCGUGUGUCGGCGGUUCAAGUCCGCCCCUGACCA